GUAGGGAAUAUUGCGCAAUGGGGGAAACCCUGACGCAGCAACGCCGCGUGAGUGAGGAAGGUCUUCGGAUUGUAAAACUCUUUUAUUAGGGAAAAAUGUCUAGGUGGCUAAUAUCCACUUAGAGUGAUGGUACCUAAGGAAUAAGCACCGGCUAACUUCGUGCCAGCAGCCGCGGUAAUACGAAGGGUGCAAGCGUUGUUCGGAAUCAUUGGGCGUAAAGCGCGCGCAGGCGGGUCAGUAAGUCAGGUGUGAAAGCUCGGAGCUCAACUCCGAAACUGCGCCUGAAACUAUUGUUCUAGAGUAUCGGAGGGGACAGGGGAAUUUCACGUGUAGGGGUAAAAUCCGUAGAGAUGUGAAGGAACACCGGAGGCGAAGGCGCCUGUCUGGACGAUUACUGACGCUGAGGCGCGAAAGCGUGGGGAGCAAACAGGAUUAGAAACCCUAGUAGUCC
rnacentral:rRNA from 1 species